rnacentral:rRNA from 1 species
AUUGAACGCUGGCGGCAGGCCUAACACAUGCAAGUCGAACGGUAACAGGAAACAGCUUGCUGUUUCGCUGACGAGUGGCGGACGGGUGAGUAAUGUCUGGGAAACUGCCUGAUGGAGGGGGAUAACUACUGGAAACGGUAACUAAUACCGCAUAACGUCGCAAGACCAAAGAGGGGGACCCUCGGGCCUCUUGCCAUCGGAUGUGCCCAGAUGGGAUUAGCUUGUUGGUGGGGUAACGGCUCACCAAGGCGACGAUCCCUAGCUGGUCUGAGAGGAUGACCAGCCACACUGGAACUGAGACACGGUCCAGACUCCUACGGGAGGCAGCAGUGGGGAAUAUUGCACAAUGGGCGCAAGCCUGAUGCAGCCAUGCCGCGGGUAUGAAGAAGGCCUUCGGGUUGUAAAGUACUUUCAGCGGGGAGGAAGGGAGUAAAGUUAAUACCUUUGAUCAUUGACGUUACCCGCAGAAGAAGCACCGGCUAACUCCGU